UACGAAGGGGGCUAGCGUUGCUCGGAAUCACUGGGCGUAAAGCGCACGUAGGCGGACUCUUAAGUCGGUGGUGAAAUCCUGGAGCUCAACUCCAGAACUGCCUUCGGUACUGAGAGUCUCGAGUCCGAGAGAGGUGAGUGGAACUGCGAGUGUAGAGGUGAAAUUCGUAGAUAUUCGCAAGAACACCAGUGGCGAAGGCGGCUCACUGGCUCGGUACUGACGCUGAGGUGCGAAAGCGUGGGGAGCAAACAGG
rnacentral:rRNA from 1 species